UUUGGGCGGGGGUCAAGAGCAAUAACGAAAAAUGUUUGUCAUAAACCGUUUUUCAUUAUUGCUCCUGACCUCCUCUCAUUUGCU
rnacentral:pre_miRNA from 1 species